rnacentral:rRNA from 1 species
AACGCUAGCGACAGGCCUAACACAUGCAAGUCAGGGGCAGCACAAGGAGCAAUCUGAGGUGGCGACCGGCGCACGGGUGAGUAACACGUAUGCAACCUGCCUGUAAGCGGGGAAUAACCCGUUGAAAGACGGACUAAUACCGCAUAAUACUAAACUACUGCAUGGUAAUUUAUUUAAACAUUUAUGGCUUACAGAUGGGCAUGCGCAUGAUUAGCUAGUUGGAGAGGUAACGGCUCCCCAAGGCAACGAUCAUUAGGGGUUCUGAGAGGAAGGUCCCCCACACUGGUACUGAGACACGGACCAGACUCCUACGGGAGGCAGCAGUGAGGAAUAUUGGUCAAUGGACGAGAGUCUGAACCAGCCAAGUCGCGUGCAGGAAGAAUGUCCCUAUGGAUUGUAAACUGCUUUUGCAGGGGAAUAAAGUGCAUCACGUGUGAUGUUUUGUAUGUACUCUGCGAAUAAGGAUCGGCUAACUCCGUGCCAGCAGCCGC